CGGUGCCUAAUACAUGCAAGUCGAACGUCAUUGUGGUUGAAAUGAUAUGAAGAACUUGUUCAGAUUUGAUUUUCAACAUUGCAAUGAGUGGCGAACGGGUGAGUAACACGUGGGAAACCUACCUCUUAGCAGGGGAUAACAUUUGGAAACAAAUGCUAAUACCGUAUAAUAAUUAAAACCGCAUGGUUUUAGUUUAAAAGAUGGUCUUGCUAUCACUAAGAGAUGGUCCCGCGGUGUAUUAGUUAGUUGGUGAGGUAAUGGCUCACCAAGACAAUGAUACAUAGCCGAGUUGAGAGACUGACCGGCCACAAUGGGACUGAGACACGGCCCAUACUCCUACGGGAGGCAGCAGUAGGGAAUCUCCCACAAUGGACGAAAGUCUGAUGGAGCAACGCCGCGUGUGUGAUGAAGGGUUUCGGCUCGUAAAACACUGUUGUAAGAGAAGAAUGACAUUGAGAGUAACUGUUCAAUGUGUGACGGUAUCUUAUCAGAAAGGAACGGCUAAAUACGUG
rnacentral:rRNA from 1 species